rnacentral:rRNA from 1 species
GACGAACGCUGGCGGCGUGCCUAAUACAUGCAAGUAGAACGCUGAAGGAAGGAGCUUGCUCUUUCCGGAUGAGUUGCGAACGGGUGAGUAACGCGUAGGUAACCUGCCUGGUAGCGGGGGAUAACUAUUGGAAACGAUAGCUAAUACCGCAUAACAGUAGAUAUCGCAUGAUAGCUGCUUGAAAGGUGCAAUUGCCCCACUACCAGAUGGACCUGCGUUGUAUUAGCUAGUUGGUGAGGUAACGGCUCACCAAGGCAACGAUACAUAGCCGACCUGAGAGGGUGAUCGGCCACACUGGGACUGAGACACGGCCCAGACUCCUACGGGAGGCAGCAGUAGGGAAUCUUCGGCAAUGGACGGAAGUCUGACCGAGCAACGCCGCGUGAGUGAAGAAGGUUUUCGGAUCGUAAAGCUCUGUUGUAAGAGAAGAACGAGUGUGAGAGUGGAAAGUUCACACUGUGACGGUAUCUUACCAGAAAGGGACGGCUAACUACGUGCCAGCAGCCGCGGUAAUACGUAGGUCGCGAGCGUUGUCCGGAUUUAUUGGGCGUAAAGCGAGCGCAUGCUUUUAGAUAAGUCUGAAGUUAAAGGCUGUGGCUUAACCAUAGUACGCUUUUGGAAACUGUUUAACUUGAGUGCAAGAGGGGGAGAGUUGGAAUUUGCUUGUGUAGCUGUUGAUUUGCGUGGAUAUGUUGGAGGGAACACCGGUGGGCGAGAGCGGCUCUUUGGCUUGGAACUGAAUGCUGAGGUGUGAAUGCGUGGGGAUGUAUGUGUAUUGUUAGCUGUGGGGUCAGGGCUGAUUGCUCUGUGUGUGUUGUGUGUUUGGUUGUGCGACCUCGUGGAAAAAAAAAAAAGUAUAAUGGUUGACUGUUGUGAGUGGUGGUGAGUGUGUCUGUCCUGUGCCUGGUUGUUCUGUCCUGUCGUGCUGUCUGUCUGCUGUGCCCCCUGUGCUCGAUGCUGUGCUCAGUGCCUGUGUAUUGGGUGUGUGCUUCUGUGUGCUGUGUGUGUGUGUGCGUG